rnacentral:rRNA from 1 species
GGCAAGAAGUAAAAACGCUAUUAGAUGGAUGACUAGGUUCUGGAGGCCGAAGAAGGACGUGGCAAGCUACGUUAUGCCUUGGCGAGUCGCAAGCAGACUGAGAACCAAGGAUUUCUUAAUGGGACUUCCCAUUAGAUCCGUGAGGAUCGGGAACGCAGGGAAUUGAAGCGUCUUAGUACCUGCAGGAAAAAAAACCAAUUGGGAUGCCGCUAGUAACAGCGAGCGAACGCGGCAAAAUUCAAACUGAAUCUUUCUCAGUAAUGAGAUGGAGAUGUGGUGUUGCGGACCUCUUUUUAUGACUGUUUCUUCAUCUGAACUCCUCUGGAAAGAGGGGCCUCAGAGAGUGAUAGCCUCGUAAGAGAUGAGAAACAGCCAGUAGAGGUAUCCAGAGUACUGCCUCCUGGAAACGGGGCGGGAAGCCGGGGGCCAUUAACCUCCAAAAUUAAAUACUUCCAGAGACCGAUAGUGCACUAGUACCGCGAGGGAAAGUUGAAAAGGACCCAUAACAGGGUGUGAAAAGCGUCUGAAAUCUAAUAGCUAAAGUCCGAUAGGGCUGUAAGCAGUUCUAUCGUCCGUUUUGAAUAACGUGCUAGGGAGUGCAUUUGAGUGGCGAGGAUAAUCUGGGAACAGAGCAUCCGUAGCGAAAGCGAGAGCCCGCAAGCAAUGAGGGGCGAGGUAUGAAAGUGCCUUCAGUCACUUGAAUGCGACCAGAAACCAAGUGAUCUAUUCUUGGGUAAGGUGAAGCGCGGGUAAAACUGCGUGGAGGCCUGAAGAGGUUCUGCGUACAAACGUUCUUCUAACCUGAGAAUAGGGGUAAAAAGCCAAUCGAACUUGGUGAUAGCUGGUUCCUGCCGAAAUUGGCCGCAGUCAAGUUUCAGACGAGACGAUUAAGAUUGUAGAGCGACGGAUUAGGGAUGCAGGUGCCGUAAGGCAUCGGUCCUCAGUCCAACUCCUAAUGUCUUAAUGUCGUAGACUCUGGAAAACGGGAACUCCGGGGUAAGCUUGGAUUCCGAGAGGGGAACAACCCAGACUGUAGUUAAGGUCCCUAAAUAUUGGCUAAGUGAUAAAGGCUAAAAAGUGUUUGUGAUCCGAGACAGCGAGGAGGUUGGCUUAGAAGCAGCCAUCCUUUAAAAAGUGCGUAACAGCUUACUCGUUGAGAUCGUAAGCCUUGAAGAUGGACGGGUCUAAGCCAAUUACCGAGACUACAGACCAUGAAAGUGGUGGUAGGCAGGCGUUUCUGUGGGGCAGAAGUAUGCUCGAGAGGGUGUAUCGACCUGCAGAAAAUGAGAUUCCUAGCGCUAGUAAGACCAUAGCAGGAUGAAAAAUCCUGUCGCCGAAAGGGCAAGGGUUCCUUGGCAAUGUUCUUCAGCCAAGGGUUAGUCGAUCCUAACUUUAAGCCAAAUGGCUAAAUAGGAAAGGGAAAAAGGUUAAUAUUCCUUUACUGUUCUAGUAUGUGCGGCAACGCGAGACUAAUUCCUGACGCUUUGGGAUAGACUGACACUGCUUGUCUGCAGUGUUAAUAAGAAUGAAUCUGGGGAGUAUCAUAAUGAUGAGAACCAGAUUAAAUCUUAGAAUAGCCGGUUUUGCCGGUUCAGUUGAUUCCUUGAGCCAGUGAAAAGGGAAUAAGUAUAAAUCUAGGAUAUUCGUACCCAGAACCGACACAGGUGCCCCUAGGUGAGAAACCUAAGGUGUGAGAGGAUAAUCCAAUUAAGGGAAUUCGGCAUAUUAGCCCCGUACCUUCGGUAUAAGGGGUCCCUGCUUUCGUGAAUUAUGUUUGCGAGAGCAGGGCGCAGUGACAAAGGUGGUCCGACUGUUUAACAAAAACCAAGCUUUCUGCAAGCCCGUAAGGGUUAGUAUAGAAGGCGAUACCUGCCCAGUGCUAGCACUUUAAAGCCUAUUUCAAUGGGCCUAAGAACUAGUAAACGGCGGGAGUAACUAUAACUCUCUUAAGGUAGCGAAAUGCCUUGUCGUUUGAAUGACGACGUGCAUGAAUGGUAUAACGAGAUCGCCACUGUCCCUAGUUGGAACCUCCUGAAUACCGUUUCCUGGUGUGAAGCCCAGGGACUUCCAAUGGGAAGCGAAGACCCCAUGAAACUUUACUGCAGCUUGUUGUUGUGGCGUGGUUUCUGCAAAGGUCGGCUCAUCCAGUUUGGAAAUCUGGAGUAGAGUGCAAGAGCAAAAGCCGGCCUGACUGGAUUUCCACACUAAAGAAAUCCAGACGCGAAAGCGUGGUCUAGCGAACCUCUAUGCCUUCUUAAUGAGGGCUAGAGAUGACCGAAAAGUUACUCUGGGGAUAACUGAGUGGUCGCGCCCGAGAGUUCACAUUGAGCAAAAGAAAAAUUCUUUUCUCUGGAACUGAUCGACGGCGCGGUUUGCUUCUUCGCUGUCGGCUCUUCCUAUCCUGGCCGUGCAGAAUUUCUAAAAUAAAAUUUUAGAAUCUGUAGGCGGCCAAGGGUGGGGGUGUUCACCCAUUAAAAGGGAUCGUGAGCUGGGUUCAGAACGCUGCGAGGCAGUUUGUUUGAUAUCUGUUGGAAGUGCGUGGAGUCUGAAAGGAAGGAGGCUUUAGUACGAGAGGAACGAGCCUUCGAAGCCUCUGGUCAACCGGUUGUCUGACAAGGCAGGCCGGGCAGCUACGCUCUAAGGGAUAAGCGCUGAAAGCAUCUAAGCACGAAACCCUCCUUAAAAAUAGACUCCUUAGGACGCGGCCAAAACAGCCGUUUGAUAGAAUCGGUGUGUAGGCAUCGAGGCAACGAGAUGUGAGCAUGCGAUUACUAAAGUCCGUAAUCUUUUUGCC